AAAAAUAUUUAUCCGAGAAUUCGUUUCGUUUUCUCGGAUUAAUUUGUAUUCAAAUCCCACUCUUUAUAAAUAUAUAAAACAAAAUAAAAAAAUGA
rnacentral:misc_RNA from 1 species